UUAAAGCCCUUAAUCUCAAAUUCGUCCGCCGUGAAGCUCUAUCUUCACGUUGACGGAAACACACCCAAUUCCAAAUGGAUUGUAUCCGAUAAGGUCACUUCAUAUUCCUUCAUCAAGACCCCCAAAAUUGAAGAAUCAGAAGGUGAAGAGGAAAAUGUUGAUGAGGGGGAGAAAGAUGCUUGGUGGGUAUUGAAGAUUGGGUCAAAAAUUCGCCGUUGUCGUAGCCUCUCUUCCCCGUCGCCGUCCCUCUCUUCCACCGUCGUCGUCCCUCUGCUCCUGUCUCCCUCAAGUUUGGUACAUUUUCCCAAUUCAAUAUUCCCCCAAUUUUCCCUAAAUAUAACCCUAUGAAAAAUUCUUCUAAAAUUUCAGUCUCUCUGUCUCUCUUAAUUUGUUUGUGCUUUCAAUUAGUAAGUUCAUCAUUUCUGUGAGAAGCAAAUACUACUAUGUUUUGGUUCUUUGAGUUAAACUUGGAUUAUCAAUCUCUACCCGCAUUGUACAUAGAGCUGCCGACAUGCGUUAAUUUGUGGAUUAAUAUUACCGUUGAAGGUAUAAAUUGUUUAUCAAUUUAGUUGACAUAGUGCUCAAUAUCAAAUCGCAUGACUUGAUUAUCUUUUUAUGAUAAACAAUACAACCAUGGUGAAGCAAUGGAACAAGAAAAAUUGGCAUACUUUUAACUAGUUUUGGAAUCUUCAAUAUAUAUAGUAGCGGUCUAGCAUGCAUCUGAGAGGUAAGUAGGUAACUCCCUUGCUUGCUUUGUAGAGUAAGCCAUCAAUAAGUUAUUUUUUCUUCAAAGCCACCACUGAGAGGUAAUUGCAAUCUCUAAGCUACUAAGUUAAUCAUUUCAAUCCUCUUUCCAUUCCAUUUUCGUGCCACUAAUGAUCUGUUAUGGCCGAAUGGCCUGGAUUAGACAUAAGGGACAGUUGUGUUAUUUUUGAGUUGCUAGGUUGACUAUUUAGGAUUAAUUUAGUUAGCAUGCUAUUGUUGUUUUGUUAUGACUGCAUAUGGGUG
rnacentral:lncRNA from 1 species